UCCUUAGACAUGGAAAGUCAAUACUGAUGG
rnacentral:piRNA from 2 species